rnacentral:tRNA from 1 species
GCUUGAGUGGCUGAGUUGGUUAAACACCCGACUUCAGCUCAGGUCAUGAUCUCAUGGUUUGUGGGUUCAAGCCCCACGUCAGGCU